GACGAACGCUGGCGGCGUGCUUAACACAUGCAAGUCGAACGGAAAGGCCUCUUUCGGGGGGUACUCGAGUGGCGAACGGGUGAGUAACACGUGAGUAACCUGCCCUUGACUUUGGGAUAACUUCAGGAAACUGGGGCUAAUACCGGAUAGGAGCUCCUGCUGCAUGGUGGUGGUUGGAAAGUUUCGGCGGUUGGGGAUGGACUCGCGGCUUAUCAGCUUGUUGGUGGGGUAGUGGCUUACCAAGGCUUUGACGGGUAGCCGGCCUGAGAGGGUGACCGGCCACAUUGGGACUGAGAUACGGCCCAGACUCCUACGGGAGGCAGCAGUGGGGAAUAUUGCACAAUGGGUGGAAGCCUGAUGCAGCAACGCCGUGUGCGGGAUGACGGCCUUCGGGUUGUAAACCGCUUUCGCUCAUGACGAAGCUUUGUGUGACGGUAGUGGGUAAAGAAGCACCGGCUAACUACGUG
rnacentral:rRNA from 1 species